GUGCUUCCGUUUCACGAUCGUUUAACAGCCUCAGAAUUUUGCUACGAAACUGCUAAACUUCUGUGCCCGCAAGUCUUUAAAAAAUAUCCCGAACAGAAAAAUGAUCCUUCUUCGUGCAAGCGCGCGAAGUUAUUUGAAAUGUGUUUUCGGAACAAAUUUAUGCAGUGUAGUCUCCACUUCCAUACCGUUUUUCACGAAACGUGUGCUUAGUUUGUCGAAGCAGCAUGCGAUUGCCACCAGUCCGCUAUAUACACGAUUAUAUGUAAGAACAUUGAUGUUAUUGGUGUAAUGCGAUAAAAUAGAAAACACCGGGGGAAAUUUGAGUUACAUGCAACUGAUCGACGAGAAAUUCAAGAAUUCUUAAUCACAGCAGAACCACGAUUUCAAAUUAGGAAAAUAGUUUAUUUUUUCCUAAGAGAUCACUAUACAUAAUAACAAAAUAAAAUUGCAUUUGAACUCA